CUUAGCUUACACAGAGAUCCCUUGGCUCCAGAUAAGCUCUUUGGAAACACAUAUGGCUAUUGUGAUUGCAUCUGUGAGAACACAGAUAAUUUGCUGAAGGAGGAAGCUGAAUCCUCAGAAAGUCUGCAGGGAGAAGAAAGCAGGAAAGGACCUGAAAACAAACCUCCAUCUCUGUGAAAAAGGAGCCAAGAGCUUUUUAAUAUCUUGUCAAAAGAGGAAGCUCUGGGAAAGUUUUAAAGCUCAUGGAAGAGAGACUUGUACCUGUCAACCAGGGCUUAGUGACCCUGAAAUAAGUGAAUCCUUAAAAUCACAAAUGAAUGGACUUUAAAGAGCAUCCCUUUCUAGAAUGGACACACACACACACACACACAUUAUGCCUCUCCUGAUUUCACAAUCAGUUGCCAGAAAUGUGAAUGGCUUUGCUCUUCCAAUCACCCUAUGCACUCUUAGGCGUAAUUCAUGUUUCAAACACCAUGCAUGGCUUUUCUUUCCCAACUGUCUGACCUCAUGACCAUUUUCACCUUUGCACAGAUUUACAAAAUGAUGCUCAGUGUCUGGAGAGUGAAGCAAGGUCUGUGGCCUUGGGUGAGGUGAUUCUUCAAUGUGGCUUUGUUUUCCUCAUUGGCAAUGUCAUGAGGUUAGACUAGGUCACCUCAAACCUUUUCCAGUCUGAUAUUUAAGAUUAAAAAUUAAAAAAGUGUCCCUGAGGACAAAUGAGAUCCAUGACUAUAGCCCAAUAGGAACUAUGACCAGGGUCAAUGACACAUACAAGUCUCCAGGCCAUUAAUCUAUUCGUCAGUCCCUCGCUCUCACCCUCCCCUGGCACAUGAUCAUCAGGCCUCUCCUCUGUGCAUGUCAGGUGUCGGGGAGCACCUAGGGCGCUCAGUGCCUGCAGACAUGGGCAACGAGUGUGUGGUGCUAUCCUAGAACCAGGGAAAUGGAGGAAGCUAACAGGAAUGGAGACUUCCUUCCAUGUGGAACAAGAAGAUAAACUGUUUGAUGAAGAAGAAAUAAGCCCAGAAAAAUAGCCUAACC
rnacentral:lncRNA from 1 species